GACGAACGCUGGCGGCGUGCUUAACACAUGCAAGUCGAACGGAAAGGCCCUGCUUUUGUGGGGUGCUCGAGUGGCGAACGGGUGAGUAACACGUGAGUAACCUGCCCUUGACUUUGGGAUAACUUCAGGAAACUGAGGCUAAUACCGUAUAGGAGCUCCUGCUCCAUGGUGGGGGUUGGAAAGUUUCGGCGGGUGGGGAUGGACUCGCGGCUUAUCAGCUUGUUGGUGGGGUAGUGGCUUACCAAGGCUUUGACGGGUAGCCGGCCUGAGAGGGUGACCGGCCACAUUGGGACUGAGAUACGGCCCAGACUCCUACGGGAGGCAGCAGGGGGGAAUAUUGCACAAUGGGCGGAAGCCUGAUGCAGCAACGCCGCGUGCGGGAUGACGGCCUUCGGGUUGUAAACCGCUUUCGCCUGUGACGAAGCGUGAGUGACGGUAAUGGGUAAAGAAGCACCGGCUAACUACGUG
rnacentral:rRNA from 1 species